rnacentral:misc_RNA from 1 species
GGAUUUAAUAUUUUAGUGUAAAACAAAGAAGAUAGAUGUGAAGGAAUUGCCCAUCUAGGAAUGCCUCUCCUAAAAAACUGAUUUUUACCUAAAUUACAGACCCAAAUUAAAUCUAAGCGUGCGAAGAUUAUAAAUUCGCCAACUUCAUUCCAAGAAAUUCUCAUGCUAAUAUCAACAGUUUCAGGGGUAGUAUGGUCAUUUCAUUGAUGUAAUACCAGCAGCACCCUCUUGCCAUUCCAGCACAGAGACAGUGAGAGCGUUAAGAAAUAAAUUACUAAACAAAUGCAGAAAGGGAGAGGUCAAGGAGAAGGUGAAGGUGAAAGGUUCUUCUUUUCCAGAUAGAGACAACUCACCAGUUGCUGUCGCUCC